AUUGAACGCUGGCGGCAGGCCUAACACAUGCAAGUCGAGCGAGCGGCGGACGGGUGAGUAAUGCCUGGGAAUUGCCCAGUCGAGGGGGAUAACAGUUGGAAACGACUGCUAAUACCGCAUACGCUUGGAUUGACCAGGUGGGAUUAGCUAGUUGGUGAGGUAAUGGCGAACAAAGGCGAAGAUCCCUAGCUGGUCUGAGAGGAUGACCAGCCACACUGGAACUGAGACACGGUCCAGACGCCUACGGGAGGCAGCAGUGGGGAAUAUUCCACAAGGGGGGAAACCCUGAUGCAGCCAUGCCGCGUGGGUGAAGAAGGUCUUCGGGUUUUAAAGCCCUUUCGGUGGGGAGGCGUUACUCAAAGAAAAAGCACCGGCUAACUCCGUGCCAGCAGCCGCGGUAAUAC
rnacentral:rRNA from 1 species